rnacentral:sRNA from 1 species
AGCCUAAACUAUUGAGCAAUCGGUGGCAUGGCGAAAAAGUCCUGACAGACAUAAAAAACCCAUCAUGUGGGGUUGUCUGUCAGGCCAUACAGGGAAACUUGUAUGAACGGCUUCGGUCGUU